GGGUUUUAGCACCAUCCCACAAAUCAUUUCCGGUAAAAACACAUGCGAAUUACUGUUAUUUUAAUUUUCUCAAUUAUGAGUUCCAGUCAUAAACGUAAAGGUUAUAAUCCUAUAAGAUAUGACACAUUGAAUUACUACAAAAGAAUCAAAGAUAUUCUAGAUGAUGACAGUUCCAAAGAAGUUGACCGUCAUGUGAUUGACAAUGUGUUCAGCCAGUUGACAGGAGAAGCACUGGACGUGUGCAGAAACCCUGAAACAAGUGCAAUCAUUGAAAGUCUUCUUGUUUUUGCUUCAUGCUCCAACAUAAGGUCUCUUGUUGAUGUAUUUUCAACAGACUGGAUGAGUAUUUGCAAAGACAGAUGUGCUAGUCAUGUUGUUCAAAAAAUUCUGUUAGUAACUCCUAAAUUGGUUAGUGACAAAAUUAAAAAAUUGGAUGAUGAGAAAUGUGAAGAUGGUUCUGAUGAACUGCAGUUGAUUAAUAAGUUAUUACAUCUGUGUGGGGAAGUUCUGAGUAAUGUAGAGGACAGUUUGAGAGAUGUCCAUGUUUCCCAUGUGUUAAGAGCAUUGCUACAGUUUCUCGGGGGAACAUAUGUAGGAGAGAAAGUUUUGAAAAGCAGACAGUCCAGAGAUUAUGGAAAGAAAUAUAACAAAGAUGCACAAAAGGUAGAUAUCGCCUUUCUUGAUUUUGAUGUGCCUGUUGUAUUUAAGAAGCAGCUGAAGUCCAUGUACAAAACUUUGUUUAAAUUGGAAAAUUUUGGUGUUUACAUAACAGACAGCAAAGCUAGUCCAGUUCUUCAAACCCUACUGCUAGUUUUACACAAGUCUGACACUGAACUAUGUCAGAAGGCCAUCCAGAAGGUCAUCAAGAGGUCAAGGAUUAAAGAUGACUCAGACAAUGUCAACGUGCCCCCUGUUGCUGCAGACAAUGUUGGUUCCUACCUGGUGGAGCAAGUUAUUUUCCUUGCCAGUGGGGAGCUCUUCACUGAGCUAUUUUCCAAACUCUUCAAAGGGAGGCUACUCCAGUUUGCCGCACACCCCUCUGCUAACUUUGUACUUCAGAAGCUGGUGAAGACAUGCAGAGAUAAAUCUGUAUUCCGUAGCAUGAUAGAAGAGCUAGGUGAGGGAAUGGGUGCGGUGUUUGCCUCCAGGAACUACGGUGUGCUGGUGGCCCUGGUUGAGACAUCUCAUAGACUCUCCUGCAAGCAGGACCAGCUCGUCAAGAUGUUGAUGGAGGGCCUGCAAUGCUGGGAGCCAGAAGAACGGCGGGCCAAGUUUGCUACACUGCUGGCAGCUUUCCAGACAUAUGAUGUGUUUUACAAGGCCAAGGCUAAGGAUACCACAACCAGUCCCACCCUUCAGAAAGUGAACUAUCACGGUUCCUUGCUACUCCAGCAACUGAUCAACUUCUCCAACACUAAACUGCUGGAAACCAGUCUGGUCAGUCUGGAACCAGCAGAGGUCCUCAUAAUGUCAUGUGACCCAUGUGGAAGUCAUGUGAUCGAGGGUGCAUUCAAGAGUGUCUCAAUUAAGGACAAAACCAAAGAGACAUUGAUUGGGAAACUAAGGGGUUCCUUGGUACUAGUGGCCUGUCACAAGAAUGGCAGUCGAGCAAUUGAAUCCAUCUGGAAAAAUGUCAAUCUGAAACAGCGUUCUGCCAUUGCCAUGGAGCUUAGCCAGCAUUCUGAUAGACUGAAGUCAGACAUGUUUGGACGCCAUAUUGAGCGGAACUUUGCACUCCACCACUUCAAAACCAGGAACAGUGAAUGGUCUAUGCUUCAGAAAAGUGAUAACAAGAGAAGAGCCAUGUUUAAUGACGUCCUUGCCCUUGGAACAGAAAAUGGAAGCGCUCACCUGUCACAGUGACAAGGAAAAUGGUGCAAUAAAUCAAUUGACACCUCGACCGAGAUCGUUGCUAAGUUACAGCACAAAUGACAGACAUCCUACUGGGGCACCAGUUUCAAAGAAAAAGAAGAAAAUGAAGAAAAAAAUGAAGCCAAUAACUGUUGCAUCAUAGUUUUUGUGUCGCCUGAAAAGACGACAUAUAGGGGUUACUUUCGUCGGCGGCAGCGUUGGUGGCGGCUUCAUUAUUCAUGCUUAAAGUUUUGUCUGGGGCAUAUCUUGUAGAAUAUAAGAGUUAUCAACUUGAAACUUCAUAUGUAGAUAGAUCUCAUGGAGGGCAAGUGCAGUGCACAAUAACAGUAACUCUUGCUUUCUUAGUUUUAAAGUUAUUGCCCUUCGUUAAUUUUUAUGCUUAAAGUUUUGUCCGGAGCAUAUCUUGAAGAAUAUAAGAGGUAUCAACUUGAAACUUCAUAGCUAGAUAGAUCUCAUUGAGGGCAAGUGCAGUGCACAAGAACCGUUACUCUUGCUGCCAUAUUUUUAGAGUUAUUGCCCUUUGUUAAUUUUCUUGCUUAGGUUUUGUCCGUGGCAUAUCUCGUAAAUUAUAGGAGGUAUCAACUUGAAACUUAUUCCGUAGGUAUAUCUGAUUGAGGGAAAGUGCAGUGCACAAAAACCGUAACUCUUGCAUCUAUAUGUUUAGAGUUAUUGCCCUUUGUUAAUUUUCAAGCUUAAAUUUUGUCUGUUGGUGAACUGGAGUCUUACUUCAGCCAUCAUAAACUGGUCUGGAUAGCAGUUUAGACAGAAGCAAGACAGAGAUGCUCAUUUCACACCUGAAAACAUAUUAAUCCAUUAUCUUCAAAUUAUUUCUCAAUGUCAUUGACUUCAGUAUUUAUUGUGCUCAUUUUUGCUUAUAUAACCAAUUGCUUGCCCCUGGCUUAACGUUGUUACCUUCAGUUCAAAUGCCACCUACACUUGAAAGUUAAAUGGCAACAUCAUUGUCUAUGAAUGAAUAAAAUGCCAAUCUAACAGCUAUAAUGUCAACAGUAAAUAAUUCGUCAGGCGACACAUCCGACUGGCAGAGUUCUAGUUAACAGAUAUUUGUUAUUAUAAUUAUGAGAAAAUAAAGUUUAAUGAAU